rnacentral:rRNA from 1 species
CGAAAGUUACGCUAAUACCGCAUAUUCUGUGAGCAGGAAAGCAGGGGGACCGCAAGGCCUUGCGCUCUUUGAGCGGCCGAUGUCAGAUUAGCUAGUUGGUGAGGUAAAGGCUUACCAAGGCGACGAUCUGUAGCGGGUCUGAGAGGAUGAUCCGCCACACUGGAACUGAGACACGGUCCAGACUCCUACGGGAGGCAGCAGUGGGGAAUUUUGGACAAUGGGCGCAAGCCUGAUCCAGCCAUGCCGCGUGAGUGAAGAAGGCCUUCGGGUUGUAAAGCUCUUUCGGCCGGGAAGAAAUCGCAUGGGUUAAUACCCUGUGUGGAUGACGGUACCGGAAUAAGAAGCACCGGCUAACUACGUG